rnacentral:tRNA from 1 species
GCUCCUGUAGCUCAGUGAUAGAGCCACUGGCUCAUAACCGGAUGGUCCCUAGUUUGAUCCUAGGCGGGAGCA